rnacentral:lncRNA from 1 species
AACAUGUCUUAAAGUAAGAAGAACCCACAGGAAGAGGUUGAGUGAGAUAAUAAAUCUCAUAUGCACGGUAUUCAUAUCAGAAGGAGAAUUCUAACUUCUAAUCCUUUUAAGGACCAAAUUAAAGACAAUUUUGGAUUCCUUUUUGGAUAGAGUAUCGAUCAAGAUGAAGAACUGCACUUAUUAGGUAUUCUACUUUAAAAAGGAUGA